CACACUCUGUUUAAGUAUUUAUACUGCCUUUGGCUUGCUGUAUUAUUGUGCGUUUAUUAAUAAGCCCGUGUGCUUACAUUUUGACUUGAGAAAACUCUGUGCACUUUGGAAGAAAUCCUAUCCGCAUUGAAGUCAAUGGGAGAAUUGCCAUCGACUACAAGAGCGUUAGGAUUUCACCCUUUUGAGUUUUUGUUCACAAAGAGAAGCUCUUCAAAAAUCUUUCAGUCCUGUAAGCCUUCAUUACUCAUCCAUUAAAAAAAUAAAUAAAAUAAAAUCUAGGGGAAGAGGUUAAGGUAAUAAUAAUAAUAAUAAUAAUAAUAAUAAAGGUGGGUCUGGCUUUAUAUUGUCAACAAUCUCAUAGAUCUCCAAGUUGGACUGGCUCUAGCACAGAACAUGCUAGGACUAAGACUCUCAAAUUACUCACAGAACACAUGACAGCAUGUAAAGGCUACUGAAAUAUAAAGAUUUUGGCCCAAAGUUACAUUCAGGGUCUAUUGGGUUCACAGAUCUGCCAGAUCUCUUUUGCUAAAAGCAGUCAUGUACCAUGUUGCCAUGAACCCUUCCAGUGGUGUGUUUGCAUUUCUGCUCCCUCCAGCAGUAUGUUGAAGCCACUAAGAUUUAUAGAUAAGAUGCAGCAUAAAACAAACAAACAAACAAAAAUCCACUCCAAAGCUGGAUCUUUCAGACUGAGAUUCAUCACAUAUUUUGUAAGUUUCUAAAAGUCUUUCACAAAAGCAGAAAAAAUUUUACUAGAAAACCCUCCACAGAUCUAAGAAGAAUUUCUCAUGAACAAGUUCUAAAAAAAAAAGUGAAAAUAUUUAGAAAAUUGAGCUCUUUAAACCUCCAAUUUCUAAAAAAAAGGGGGACUAAAAAGUGCUGGGAAGACCACUGUGUACUUUUCAGUGUCCUGGUUAUUCUGCCAAAGAAAUCUAGGGCAAAUUUAUUUUAGUUAAACAUUUAUUUGGUGACCACUGUUUCUACAAUGAUUAUUUUGCUAUCCUCACCAGUAACCCUUUGUUUCUCUGAAUGCAAGCACGAGUCACAAUAUUCAUUUACAAAGAGGUGUAUGGUAGUCUUGUUUCUUAAAGAUAAAUUGCAGAACUAUUUUUGAUGGUUCAAAAUCUUGGGUUUUGCAGCUCAGUAUAAUUUAAGCCAUGAACCAUUCUUCCUGCUACUCUAUAGUGAAUUAUAAAACAUAUCAAUCCCCGUUACCCUAAAGAAAAGAAGUAAUAACAUGUAAGAUGAAAAACAGUGAAAAUCAUGCCUGACCAAUCUGGUGGCAUUCUGUGAUGGAGUGACUCCAUCAGCUGACAAUGGAUGAGCAACCAAUGUCAUCUACCUGGACUUCUGUAAGGCCCACAUAACAUCCAGAUCUCCAUAUUAGAGAGUUUUCAGAACUGUCACUGUGAUGCUAGCUAAUUGAUCCUAGAACCGCUAUACUCUAUAGGUAAGUGGUAACGAAGUCCUCCUUCUUCCAAAUAAUAGUAAAAUCAGUUAUUUACCAUUUAUACCAAUAGUUAACAAAAAAUGACGUAUGAAUCAUUUAGGAUUUUAGUGAAGACACUCUUUGAAUGUUACAUUGAAUAUUUUAAUUAAAAAUAAACAUGAAUGACAAUGUUCUUAGUAACACGAUAGUAACUAAAACUUAAGGUGAGAAGGUAUUUUCAAGACUAUAUUAGUUCUUUUGUUCUGAAAAUGAAACAUUUUGAAGAUGAGUUCAGAACACAGAGGCAUUUCUAUGACAUUAUGGGCAUUUAAAAACAUUGACUGAGACAGAUGAAAAGUGUUUUCAAAAGCUGCAUCUUUCACAUUUGGAGUAUCCAAAGACAAGUUUUUUCUUAGAUCUUAUAUUCUAUACGAUCUUAGGUCAAAUAUUAUGUAAAUUUGUGCCAUUAACUCUACAUUUCCUUCAUAAUUUUGAGGGUUUCUGUAGUGUUUGUGUAGUUGAGUUCUUAGUUGUUGUUUUUUUUCAUACAAGUUCUCUUGCAGAAAAGUUUAACGAUUUUGACAAUUUUAGGUAGAUAUCUUAUCUGCCUUAUUCCAUCUUGAUUUCUGGCAGUAACAGAAUCCUAGCAGUCAAACUGUGUAUAAGAAAGUCCAUCAACUAUGACAGGAAGUGGAGCACUGAAUGGUUGAUCCCCUUUUCUGGUCAUAUCACAGAAUUACAGUGUAAAUUAGGUUGACAGGGAUCUCAGAAGGUCACCUGGUCCAAUCACUUCUCAAAGCAGAGGUGACUUCAAAGUUAGAGCACGUUGCUUAGGGCAAGCUAACUUGAAUAAUCUUCAAGAAUGGCGAUUCUGCAAUCUCCCUGGGAGAUCUGUCCUAUUUUUUGUUCAAAUUCUGUAUUGUUCUUUAUAUCUCUGGAAUAUCCCUUGUUGUGUUUUGUUUCCCUCAGCUCUCCACUGGUCAUUCCUGAGAAGAGCAUAGCUCCAUUUAUAUGUUAUAACAUAUAUGUUAUAUGGAGAGCUGGGUGAUCACCAACCACAUGAAGUUUAACAAAAGCAAGUGCUGGGUCCUGCACCUGGGACAGGGCAACCCUGGCUAUACGUACAGACUGGACAAUGAGACGCUGGAGAGCAGCCCUGC